GUCUCUGUAGUAUAGUGGUUAGUAUGCUCGCUUGUGGCGCGAUCGACACCGGUUCGAUUCCGGUCGGGGACA